UGGGGAAUUUUGGACAAUGGGGGAAACCCUGAUCCAGCCAUCCCGCGUGUGCGAUGAAGGCCUUCGGGUUGUAAAGCACUUUUGGCAGGAAAGAAACGUCGCGGGUUAAUACCCCGCGAAACUGACGGUACCUGCAGAAUAAGCACCGGCUAACUACGUGCCAGCAGCCGCGGUAAUACGUAGGGUGCAAGCGUUAAUCGGAAUUACUGGGCGUAAAGCGUGCGCAGGCGGUUCGGAAAGAAAGAUGUGAAAUCCCAGAGCUUAACUUUGGAACUGCAUUUUUAACUACCGGGCUAGAGUGUGUCAGAGGGAGGUGGAAUUCCGCGUGUAGCAGUGAAAUGCGUAGAUAUGCGGAGGAACACCGAUGGCGAAGGCAGCCUCCUGGGAUAACACUGACGCUCAUGCACGAAAGCGUGGGGAGCAAACAGGAUUAGAUACCCUGGUAGUCCACGCCCUAAACGAUGUCAACUAGCUAGUUGGGGGCC
rnacentral:rRNA from 1 species